rfam:Gossypium hirsutum cultivar TM-1 chromosome 4, whole genome shotgun sequence
AACCCAUGGUGAGGGUACCUUCUCAACUGAUCCUUGUAUCUCUCCCAUGCAUCAUAGAGUGUUUCUAGAUCCAUCUACACAAAAGAGGAGAUAUCAUUAUGUAUUU